CACACAUUGCGCCCCUUGGUAUUCCAUGGGGCAUGCCUGUUCGAGCGUCAUUUGAACCUUCAAGCUUUGCUUGGUGAUGGGUGUUUGUCUCCUCUAGCAGGUAGACUCGCCUUAAAAUGAUUGGCAGCCGGCAUAUAGGCCAUUGGAACGCAGCACAAUUUGCGAGCCAAGCCGUUAUACUGGCAUCCACCAAGCUUAUUUCUCACGUUUGACCUCGGAUCAGGUAGGGAUACCCGCUGAACUUAA
rnacentral:misc_RNA from 1 species